rnacentral:rRNA from 1 species
AUGGCCGCCGGCCGGUUUCUGCCGCUGGCGGGCCGCCGCAUCAUCGCGGCCCUGUCCCAGCCGUCCGCCCCCUCUUCCCGCGGAAUUUUCUUCCCUUCUACUGCGACCGCAGGCUUGAGGUCCCUCCAGACGAUCAUCGAAGCGAGCAGCAACGCGUCGACUGAGCGUCGCCAUGACCCGGAGGAUCACAAGACCGACACCCCGCCGCCGCCGCCAGCUUCGGUCCCUGCAGCAGCAGCGGAGUCGAGCUUCAAGGUCAGAGACGCGUCGACCCUGAAGAUCUCGCCGAGGCACGACAUGGCGAUGAUCUUCACGUGCAAGGUCUGCGAGACGAGGUCCGUGAAGAUGGCCAGCCGGGACUCGUACGACAACGGGGUGGUGGUCGCCCGCUGCGGCGGCUGCAACAACCUGCACCUGAUGGCGGACAGGCUCGGCUGGUUUGGCCAGCCGGGGAGCAUCGAGGACUUCCUGGCGGAGCAGGGGCAGGACGUGAAGAAAGGCGACACGGAUACUCUCAGCUUCACCCUGGAGGACUUGGCCGGGUCUCAGGUCAAAUCGAAGGAACCUUCUAGUGAAAAUUAG